rnacentral:rRNA from 1 species
GGACGAGGACGAGGGAGAGGGCAUUGCUUAAUGUCGAUAGCUAAGCAACAACAGCUGAGCUCCGCGCGCAGAACGUCCAUGGCCAUGGUGGGAGCAAAGUGCUGCCUAGUCCUCAGCUGCUUCCCGUACGUGCUCCUAGCCAUAUCCAGCUGCCUUCUUCCUCGAGUCACCUCGCUUACCUUCGACUAUAACUUCUCCGCCCCGGGCGUCCUCGCCGGCGCUGACCUCAAGUACAUGAACGACUCCGGCCCCGCCCUCGGCCGGGACCGGAUCGACCUCACGAACCUCUCUAGGAGCUGGAGCACCGGCCGCGUCGGCCACCGGCAGGCCGUGCGUCUCUGGGACGACAGCACCGGCAAGGUCGCCAGCUUCAGCACCAACUUCACCUUCGCCGUCAAGCCCCUCAACGCCACCACGAGCCAGGGUGAUGGCAUGGGGUUCUUCGUGGGGCCUUACCCGGCGAGCCUGCCGACCGACGCCUCCGGCGGCUUCCUGGCGCUGUUCAACAACCGCGGCAACCCGGCGAACACCUUCUUCCCGCCAACCGUCGGUGUGGAGUUCGACACGUUCAGGAACGUCGACUGGGACCCCAACGACACCGUGAACCACCUCGGCGUCAACGUCAACAGCAUCAGCUCCAUGGCGUACGCGGCGCUGCCGGACGGGAGCUUCAAUGGGGUCAUGUCAGCGUCGGUCAGGUACGACGCCGGUGCCGCCACGCUCUCGGCCACUCUGCACAUGCCAGAGCAGAGGACUUACACCGUCAGUGCCAGCGUGGACAUGAGAGCCGCCGGUCUGCCACAGGACGCGGCGGUCGGAUUCUCGGCGGCCAUCGGGGACUUGGUCGAGCAGCACCAGAUCCUUUCUUGGUCGUUCGAGUCCACUCUCACCGUCACCGAUUACAAAACCUCGAAGAGGAAAAGGACAGGUCUAAAUCUAAUAGCGGGGCUGGUAUCCGUCGGUGUCUUCGUCUUGUUGGCCGUGGCCGCAUGGCUCGGCUACCUCCAGUAUCUGAAAAGAAAGGGCAAGCACACGCAAGAGGCGUCUGAAGAUGCCGAGGAGAUCCCCGUCGGCGUAGACAUGGACAACGAGUUCGAGAAAGGGGCAGGCCCUCGGAGGUUCGGUUACGGCGAGCUGUCGCGGGCGACCAAGGGGUUCUCCGACGAGGAGAAGCUCGGCGAGGGCGGCUUCGGGGCGGUCUACCGAGGGCACCUGCACGAGCAGGGGCUCCACGUGGCCAUCAAAAGGGUCUCCAAGACGUCGAGUCAGGGGAGGAGGGAGUACGUCGCGGAGGUGACCAUCAUCGGGCGGCUGAGGCACCGCAACCUCGUUCAGCUCGUCGGGUGGUGCCACGAGGCCGACGAGCUCCUGCUCGUCUACGAGCUCAUGACGAACGGCAGCCUCGACGACCAUCUCUAUGCUUCCAAGAGCGUCCUCGCGUGGCCAGCCAGGUACAGGAUCAUUCUCGGCAUGGGCUCGGCGCUGCUCUACCUGCACCAGGAGUGGGAGCAGUGCGUGGUGCACAGGGACAUCAAGCCCAGCAACGUGAUGCUCGACGCGUCGUUCAACGCGAGGCUGGGGGACUUCGGGCUCGCGCGCCUCGUCGACCACUGCCGCGGCGCGCACACGACGACGCUGGCCGGCACCAGGGGGUACAUGGACCCGCAGUGCGCGGUGACCAGCCGGGCCAGCGCCGAGACCGACGUCUACAGCUUCGGGGUUGUCCUCCUCGAGGUCGCCUGCGGACGGAGGCCCGUCGUCCCGCAGCUGGAGGAGGAGGAUGAGGGGAGGGUCAUGCUCGUGCGGUGGGUCUGGGAGCUGUACGGGAGAGGCACGCUCCUCGUCGACGCGGCGGACGCGCGGCUCGACGGCGACCUGGACGCGCGUGAGAUGGAGCGCGCGCUGGUCGUGGGCCUCUGGUGCGUGCACCCGGACUACGGCUUCCGGCCGUCCAUCCGACAGGCCAUGAGCGUGCUACAGUUCGAAGCACCGCUUCCAGACCUGCCGCCGGAGAUGCCGGUGGCCACGUACGCGCGGGCGCCGCACAGGUCGACCUACACGUCGUCGUCGACUGGGGGUUCCAGUUCCAGCACAGGUGGACGCUCGAUCACAAGUGACCUUACGGCGGAGAGCCGUCGUCCCUGGGCCAAUGCCGACACGAGGAGCGCCACGAGGCCCAUUGCGUUCACGACGAAUCAGACGAGCGAGGGCACCAGAGCGGCUGAG